rnacentral:rRNA from 1 species
AUUGAACGCUGGCGGCAUGCUUUACACAUGCAAAUCGAACGGCAGCGCGGGCUUCGGCCUGGCGGCGAGUGGCGAACGGGUGAGUAAUAUAUCGGAACGUACCCAAGAGUGGGGAUAACGUAGCGAAAGUUACGCUAAUACCGCAUACGAUCUAAGGAUGAAAGCAGGGGAUCGCAAGACCUUGUGCUCCUGGAGCGGCCGAUAUCUGAUUAGCUAGUUGGUGAGGUAAAGGCUCACCAAGGCAACGAUCAGUAGCUGGUCUGAGAGGACGACCAGCCACACUGGAACUGAGACACGGUCCAGACUCCUACGGGAGGCAGCAGUGGGGAAUUUUGGACAAUGGGGGCAACCCUGAUCCAGCAAUGCCGCGUGAGUGAAGAAGGCC